rnacentral:ncRNA from 1 species
GGAAAAACGUUGAGAAGGAGAAGUAAGAAAGCAAACGGCUUUUCAGAGAGAACCUCCUUUGGCUGAAAGAGGUUUAAGCACGCGCUUUCUGAAAUGCCCCUUCGAGUCUUUUGUCGAAACCAGCGGGAGUAGACAAAAGCGGAGACUCACCGUUAUAAGAGUUAAAGUUGAGGGAAAAGAAAAGCUAUACUUUUCCCUAAACAGAGUGGAACCGCGCUUAUUUGCGUCUCUGUA